AAACUCACCUGGCAAGGCAGUGAUACCAGGAGCACAAAAGUGGUUUUCCCUCGGUGAGGUUCGUCCACUGAACUCCAGAUAGCUGAUCCCUGUCGUUUUCUCAAACACAGAAAUGCAACUGCAUGACCUGUGUGGUGGGGGCUGUGCUUGCACGAUACCCUA